rnacentral:rRNA from 1 species
UACGGAGGGUGCAAGCGUUAUCCGGAUUUACUGGGUUUAAAGGGUGCGUAGGUGGAUUAGUAAGUCAGUGGUGAAAUCUCCGGGCUUAACCCGGAAACUGCCAUUGAUACUAUUAGUCUUGAAUAUCCUGGAGGUGAGCGGAAUAUGUCAUGUAGCGGUGAAAUGCUUAGAUAUGACAUAGAACACCAAUUGCGAAGGCAGCUCACGAAGCCAAUUAUUGACGCUGAGGCACGAAAGCGUGGGUAGCGAACAGG